UGGUGGAGGAGGCCGGCCGUGUGGGCACCUUGGAACCAGGCACACUGGAGAAGCUGGUGAACUACCUAGUGCCUGCGCAGCGCUGCGGAGACCCCUUCUUCGUGCCUGCCUUUCUGUGCACCUACAGGAGGUUUGCCACCACGCAGCAGGUGCUGAAUCUGCUGUUCCUCAGGUAUGGAUUCUUCCACCCCAAGUGUGAAGAGGACCAGAAAAACAAGAGUGCUCUGAGCUCCCUCCUUGAGACCUGGUUGCUUCAAUACCCAGGAGACUUUUGCCAGGGCCCAGACCUGACCAGUCUGAAGCAGCUCAUAGCCUAUGCAUUAAUCAACCUUCCACAUUCAGAAAUUCUCCCUGAAGUGUGCAUACUCCUGGCCAGACGUGGAACCCGCUAAGUAGGCGGUCAUCGGGUUGCAAGAUAGUUCAGGAUACUGAAGCUUACAUGACUCCAGUUGCCCUGUCCCUCCCUCCCUCCCUCAUUUGGAAAAGUGGUGUG